CGCGGGCGCCCGGAGCGAGCCGGGAGGGAGCCGCGCGCCUUUGUGCGCGCCGAGACGGCCCACCUGAGGAUAUCGACCCUAAGGACUCAUAUCUCAUUACAAGAAGCAUCAUGGCCGAGCCAGACUACAUAGAAGAUGACAAUCCUGAACUUAUUAGGCCUCAGAAACUGAUCAAUCCUGUCAAAACCUCCCGGAACCAUCAAGAUCUUCACAGAGAACUUCUUAUGAAUCAAAAAAGAACCGGGUUACCCCUCCGUGAGGCAGAUGCCCUGCAGGUGGCCAUCACUGUGGUGGCCAGCAGUGCUUCCAGACUCCUGCAGUUGCGGGUUCCCUUCUGAAAUGGAUGUGUAUUUCCAAAUUCGGAUGGAAGAGGCUGGAUUAAGGAUAGCAGAGAAUGUCCUAAGUAGAAGAGAAAUAUGUUCUUAAAUUUAAAAUCUCUGAAUUUUCUCCUUACACUGGGGAAGGUGUAGGAAUCAUGUAAUUACCGCCUACUCCGGCAUUUGUCAGUAGCGGGGAGAAGUCUCUAGAACCAUAUUAGACUUAAUAGAUAGGACACUCAUGUUUUUGUUUGUUUUUGAGUAGCAUUUUAAAUGAUUAUUAUCAUAGUCUUUAUUAUUAAUUAUUUUGGAGGACAGGAAAACAUUUACCUUCUAUCUACUUUGCAAACUCCAUCUGUGCCAUAAAUCAUUUUGGAUGUUGGGUUGCUAUACUCUGCUUUUUAAGUAAUUUGGGCGGGACAGGAGACUAGGGGAACUGAGGAUGAAAGGCUACUUUUUCAAUUUAAGAACUAGGAAGUUUCAUUUAGGAUUAUUUUCAGAUCUCGUAGGACUAUAGAUGGCUCAUUUGCCCACUCUUUGCUAAGCCCUGGUGAAAGGUCUCCCACUGAACUGAAAGAU
rnacentral:sRNA from 1 species